rnacentral:lncRNA from 1 species
CCUUUUACCUAUUAAAUGAAACAUUUUGAUCAUUUUCCUCCUUGUAGUCUAUUUUUGUGACCAAAACUUAAAAUAGUCUAUUUAGGAGAAUUGCCUUUAUAUUUAUCAAGAGAUUAUAGAUCAAUAGAAUCAUUGAUUUGAAUAUAAUCAAAAACCAGUGAAGAGUUAUAGAAAAAUUUGUAUUUUGGAAGAAAGCUCUUGACAAUACCAUAUUGUCUUUAU